rnacentral:rRNA from 1 species
GAUGAGCGCUGGCGGCGUGCCUAAUACAUGCAAGUCGAGCGAACAGACGAGGAGCUUGCUCCUCUGACGUUAGCGGCGGACGGGUGAGUAACACAUGGAUAACCUACCUAUAAGACUGGGAUAACUUCGGGAAACCGGAGCUAAUACCGGAUAAUAUAUUGAACCGCAUGGUUCAAUAGUGAAAGACGGUUUUGCUGUCACUUAUAGAUGGAUCCGCGCCGCAUUAGCUAGUUGGUAAGGUAACGGCUUACCAAGGCGACGAUGCGUAGCCGACCUGAGAGGGUGAUCGGCCACACUGGAACUGAGACACGGUCCAGACUCCUACGGGAGGCAGCAGUAGGGAAUCUUCCGCAAUGGGCGAAAGCCUGACGGAGCAACGCCGCGUGAGUGAUGAAGGUCUUCGGAUCGUAAAACUCUGUUAUUAGGGAAGAACAAAUGUGUAAGUAACUAUGCACGUCUUGACGGUACCUAAUCAGAAAGCCACGGCUAACUACGUG